rnacentral:lncRNA from 1 species
UCUGCUCGCCUGGCCCAGCCAGGUCUUACGAUCAUCUGCUGCCUGGCCUAGCCAGGUCUUACCUACAGAAGGCUGCCUGGCCCGGCCAGGUCUUACACAGAGUUAGGGCUAUUGGGGUCGCCUUGGUCCAUCCAUCUCAUCAUAUACAUCGUAUUAUGCAAUGCAAUGCGCCAUAUUCGUGAAACUAGUGCAAUCAACCUACUAUAG